rnacentral:tmRNA from 1 species
CUCCUUGCGCGCGAGAAUGGCGGCGCCUAUAUUCGGCUUGUCCGGGUUCGCCCGGACUAUGGACAUAAACGCGCAGGUAAUAAGCGGAUCGGACCCGGGGGCGGUACCCGGCGGCUCCACCAUCAUCCCUCGUUGGGGGCGCAUGGGGCCGAAACAGGAUCGACGAACGUCUAAAGCUGUUUGCUUUGUCUCGGUGAGCUACCACCGUCAUCGGUGCAAAAUGUACAGUUGCCAACGACAACCGUGCUCCGGUGGCUCUGGCUGCGUAAGCAGCUCGGGCAACCGAAACUCAAGCCCUUCCGCCUAGCAGCGUAAGGCGGGGCCCGCAGGAGCCUGGCAACAGAAUCCUGCACC